AACGUAGGAGGCGAGCGUUAUCCGGAUUUACUGGGUGUAAAGCGCGAGCAGGCGGUGGUGCAAGUCAUGUGUGAAAGCGCUCAGGCUCAACCGGGCGAGGACGGGUGAGACUGCACCACUGGAGGCAGGUAGAGGCGGAUGGAAUUCCGGGUGUAGUGGUGAAAUGCGUAGAGAUCCGGAGGAACACCAGUGGCGAAGGCGGUCCGCUGGGCCUGGCCUGACGCUCAGACGCGAAAGCAUGGGGAGCGAACGGG
rnacentral:rRNA from 1 species